AUUCUUCCGAUGCAGGGAAGGAUGAGAAACCUCGACCAGGGUUCGAUUCGAGCGGAGCGAGAAAACGUUGCCGCAGGCAACGACCCGAAGGGCGAGGCGCGGCUACAUCGGCGGCAGCCGGCGCUUCACCG
rnacentral:sRNA from 1 species